UGGGGGAGUGUCUGUCAGACUGCAAGAAGAGCAUGUGGGAUGGGAUAAAUAUAUACAUGUGGCCACCCAUGGGAUAUACAAUUAUUCCCACAUUCUUACUCUCUGGUAAAAAUCUUAGGGUGAGCCCUGGAUUUAGUCAACACCAGGAAAUAUGUCUCAUGUCAGGCAGCCAGAGAAGGGAAGUGUAAAGGAUUGUUCUUGAUUGGGGGAUCCAAGUAGUCUUCACAGAAGAGACAGUAUUUGAGCUUUAUCCUGAUUUGGAGGAUUUCCAUUCAUUUAUUUAUGGAGUGCCUGAUGGGGUAUAUUGUUGAUAACAUGCUAAGUGGAGAACAUAUAGGAAAUUCUACUUCCCAAGGCACAGGCUGAGGACAAUCUCACAGAGAGGGCUGCAGGGCUGACCCCUGUGGUGAGCUACUCACCAGCACCUUUGGUUCUUUCCUUCCAUGGGAACACACCCGUGCCAGCCUUGCUAGAAGCCAGCAGUUUCCCAGAGAUCCUGACCCACACUUCCUGGCUUCCCUUUAUUCUCCACCACAGAGGACAGAAGUACCUUGGGAGACAGGUCUUGAGGCUGGGAAGUUCAAGAUCAAAGUUUCAGCCAACUCAGUUUCUGGUGAGGUCCUCUUCUUGACAUGCAGAUGGCUGUCUUCUCACUAUGUGCAGACAUGGCAAAGAGAGAAAAAAAGCACACUCUGAUGUCACUUUCUCUU
rnacentral:lncRNA from 10 species